rnacentral:rRNA from 1 species
UCAAGCGAACAAGUGCAUGUGGUGGAUGCCUUGGCGAUCACAGGCGAUGAAGGACGCGGUAGCCUGCGAAAAGCUACGGGGAGCUGGCAAACAAGCUUUGAUCCGUAGAUGUCCGAAUGGGGAAACCCACUCCUUUUGGAGUAUCCAUGGCUGAAUACAUAGGCCAUGCGAAGCGAACGCGGUGAACUGAAACAUCUAAGUAACCGCAGGAAAAGAAAUCAACCGAGAUUCCCAAAGUAGUGGCGAGCGAAAUGGGAUGAGCCUUGCACUCUUUAUUUGUAUUGUUAGCCGAACGCUCUGGAAAGUGCGGCCAUAGCAGGUGAUAGCCCUGUAGGCGAAAACAGUAUGAAAGAACUAGGUGUGCGACAAGUAGGGCGGGACACGUGAAAUCCUGUCUGAAGAUGGGGGGACCAUCCUCCAAGGCUAAAUACUCGUGAUCGACCGAUAGUGAACCAGUACCGUGAGGGAAAGGCGAAAAGAACCCCGGGAGGGGAGUGAAAUAGAUCCUGAAACCGCAUGCAUACAAACAGUCGGAGCCUCGUAAGGGGUGACGGCGUACCUUUUGUAUAAUGGGUCAGCGACUUACGUUCAGUAGCAAGCUUAACCGUAUAGGGCAGGCGUAGCGAAAGCGAGUCCGAAUAGGGCGUUCAGUUGCUGGGCGUAGACCCGAAACCAAGUGAUCUAUCCAUGGCCAGGAUGAAGGUGCGGUAACACGUACUGGAGGUCCGAACCCACUAACGUUGAAAAGUUAGGGGAUGAGCUGUGGAUAGGGGUGAAAGGCUAAACAAACUUGGAAAUAGCUGGUUCUCUCCGAAAACUAUUUAGGUAGUGCCUCGUGUCUCACCUUCGGGGGUAGAGCACUGUCAUGGUUGGGGGGUCUAUUGCAGAUUACCCCGCCAUAGCAAACUCCGAAUACCGAAGAGUGCAAUCACGGGAGACAGACAUCGGGUGCUAACGUCCGGUGUCAAGAGGGAAACAACCCAGACCGCCAGCUAAGGUCCCCAAAUAUAGCUAAGUGGGAAACGAAGUGGGAAGGCUAAAACAGUCAGGAGGUUGGCUUAGAAGCAGCCACCCUUUAAAGAAAGCGUAAUAGCUCACUGAUCGAGUCGUCCUGCGCGGAAGAUGUAACGGGGCUAAGCUAUAUACCGAAGCUGCGGAUGCGUGUUUACACGCAUGGUAGGAGAGCGUUCUGUAAGCCUGCGAAGGUGUCUCGGAAGGGAUGCUGGAGGUAUCAGAAGUGCGAAUGCUGACAUGAGUAGCGAUAAAGGGGGUGAAAGGCCCCCUCGCCGUAAGCCCAAGGUUUCCUACGCAACGUUCAUCGGCGUAGGGUGAGUCGGCCCCUAAGGCGAGGCAGAAAUGCGUAGCUGAUGGGAAGCAGGUCAAUAUUCCUGCACCAUUGUUAGAUGCGAUGGGGGGACGGAUCGCGGAAGGUUGUCCGGGUGUUGGAAGUCCCGGUCGCUGCAUUGGAGAAGGCGCUUAGGCAAAUCCGGGC